AGGAUAAUAGUUAAAUUAACAUUUAAUUUGCAUUUAAAAAAUACUGUAAACAGUUUAUCUUA
rnacentral:tRNA from 1 species